rnacentral:misc_RNA from 1 species
UUUAAGUUUCGUUUGAUAAGAAAUGGAAUGGACUUGCAUUUUAAUAUGGACUUCAAAGACCAUUAUCAGGUCUGUAAUUGACAUUUUAGGUCCUUUAAAGUAAUACAGAUUUACACCAUCUUUUACUAAACAUUAGGAAAACAACUCAUGGUAAUUUCCAAACUUGAUGUUGUCCCUCUACAGCUGAAAUCCUUAAAUGGAGGUCAUAUUUUCUUAAAUCUUUUUAAUAGUAUAGACUUGCAAAAACUGCAGCAAUAUUUUUAUGUUUAUAUAUUUGAUAUAUGUACUAGUUAGUACUUAGGACGUUCAUAUUUUUUCUUCAAUGAUAAGGGAAAAAAAUGUGUAAAUGGAUUUCAAUAAGAGUCCGAGAUGAAGAAAUAGUCUGGAAUUAAUUAGUAUAUUGUAUUGAAGGAACAGUCUCACAGAGGGGAAAAAAUCAUGCAAUAUGCUUAUGAUUUACAUGUAAUUGUUUAUAAAACAUUUUCAAGGUUGUCAUCAGCAUUUGAUAAAGGAUUUAGAUAGUAUUUAGUAUAGACCCUUAAUAGGGUCAAAAUGGCAUUUUUGAAUUUAUGUAGAAAUGAUCUCACUUCAGUUUCUUUGUUUGCUUAUCAUAUAUACAAGGUUCCAUGCUCAAAACCAAGGACUAUAGGUAGAUAUGAGCAUUGAUUAUUUUUAAUGUUGAUUGACGUUUUUUCUUUAAAUGAUUAAGUAGUCCCAACCUUGGCAAUCAAAAUACAAAAUUGAAAUAUUUUUUUUUAAUUUGAAAAGCGUGGAUUGAAGUAUUUACAUAUUAAUUAUACAUAUUGUAACUUACAUAUCAUGUCAUUUUUCCUUUUUUGUUUUUUGAACAUUAUUUGUUCUUAAGAUUUUUAAUAAUUUAUAGGAUCAACACCAAAAGUACGAGUAUACUUAAAAUAACUGCUUGAUAUCAAAGUUAUACCAUUUGAUUAAAUCCAAAAUAACUGUGUUUCGUGUUAUAUUUAUAUACAAGGUUAUGAAAAAAAAAAUCAGAUGCGGUAGCUGUUGAUUUAUUUGUUUUUAAAUUGUUUGUUAUUUUUUCUGUUUGUUUUUGGGCAUAUUAAAAAAUGCAUACACUGUAAAAAAAAUAAAUAAAGUUAAUACA